rnacentral:rRNA from 1 species
GACGAACGCUGGCGGCGUGCCUAAUACAUGCAAGUAGAACGCACAGUUUAUACCGUAGCUUGCUACACCAUAGACUGUGAGUUGCGAACGGGUUAGUAACGCGUAGGUAACCUGCCUGGUAGCGGGGGAUAACUAUUGGAAACGAUAGCUAAUACCGCAUAAUAUUGAUUAUUGCAUGAUAAUUGAUUGAAAGUUGCUAUUGCAUCACUACCAGAUGGACCUGCGUUGUAUUAGCUAGUAGGUGAGGUAACGGCUCACCUAGGCGACGAUACAUAUCCGAACUGAGAGGGUGAUCUGCCAAACUGGGAAGGAGACACCUCACAGACUCAUACGGGAGGCAGCAGAAGGGAAUCAUCGGAAAUGGACGAAAGACUGACAGAGCAACGCCGCGUGAGUGAAGAAGGGAUUAGGAUCGUAAAGCUCUGUUGUAAGUGAAGAACGGGUGUGAGAGUAGAAAGUUCACAAAGUGACGGUAUCUGACCAGAAAGGGACGGCUAACUACGUG